UACAGAGGUCUCAAGCGUUGUUCGGAUUCAUUGGGCGUAAAGGGUGCGUAGGCGGCGGGGCAAGUCGGAUGUGAAAUCUCAGGGCUCAACCCUGAAACUGCAUUCGAUACUGCCUUGCUCGAGGACUGGAGAGGAGAUUGGAAUUCACGGUGUAGCAGUGAAAUGCGUAGAUAUCGUGAGGAAGACCAGUGGCGAAGGCGGAUCUCUGGACAGUUCCUGACGCUGAGGCGCGAAAGCUAGGGGAGCAAACGGG
rnacentral:rRNA from 1 species